rnacentral:rRNA from 1 species
AACGCACCUUGCGCUCCUUGGUAUUCCGAGGAGCAUGCCUGUUUGAGUGUCAUGGAAUCAUCAAUCCUCAUCUUUAUUGAUGAGGGCUUGGACUUGGAGGCUCGUGCCGGUUUUGAAUUGAAUCGGCUCCUCUUGAACGCAUUAGCUUGAACCUAUGCCGUAUCGGCUGUUCGGUGUGAUAAUUGUCUACGCCGUGGCUGUGAGGCUUUAAAUUCAUAGGAUCAGCUUCGAACCGUCCCUAUCGAACGGGACAACAUCUUCAUUGACCUCUGACCUCAAAUCAGGUAGGAUUACCCGCUGAACUUAA